rnacentral:rRNA from 1 species
GGGAUUUCAAAGACAACCAGGAUGUUGGCUUAGAAGCAGCCAUACAUUAAAAGAGUGCGUAAUAGCUCACUGGUCGAGAGGUCCUGCGCCGAAAAUGUCCGGGGCUGAAACACACUACCGAAGCUCAGGAAUUAACGUAGUUAAUUGGUAGAGGAGCAUUCUUAAAGGGAAGAAGCAGUACCGGAAGGAGCUGUGGACUUUUAAGAAGAGAGAAUGCCGGAAUGAGUAGCGAGAGGAAGGUGAGAAUCCUUCCGGCCGAAUACCCAAGGUUUCCAGAGUAAAGCUGAUCUGCUCUGGGUAAGUCGGGGCCUAAGGUGAGGUCGAAAGACGUAGCCGAUGGACAACAGGUUGAAAUUCCUGUACUGCAGUAUAACAGAACUGUGGGGACGCAGAGGGAGAGCACUAGCGGGAAUGGAAUCCCGCGGCAAGCGAGGUAGGAGCCGCGCUGGCAAAUCCGCGUGACAAUCCGAAGACGUGAUGCAUACCGAACUGAAGUAGGGAAAUGUGUGAGCCAGCUGCCAAGAAAAGCCGCUAUUGUUUGUACUGUACCCGUACCGUAAACCGACACAGGUAGGUGAGGAGAGAAUCCUAAGGCCGACGGGAGAAGCAUUGUUAAGGAACUCGGCAAAAUGACUCCGUAACUUCGGGAGAAGGAGUGCCAGUGAGAGCUGGCCGCAGAGAAUUGGCCCAAGCAACUGUUUAGCAAAAACACAGGUCUAUGCAAAACCGUAAGGUGAAGUAUAUGGGCUGACGCCUGCCCGGUGCUGGAAGGUUAAGGGGAGAGGUUAGCGCAAGCGAAGCUUUGAACUUAAGCCCCAGUAAACGGCGGCCGUAACUAUAACGGUCCUAAGGUAGCGAAAUUCCUUGUCGGGUAAGUUCCGACCCGCACGAAAGGCGUAAUGAUUUGGGCACUGUCUCAACAAUGCACCCGGUGAAAUUGAAAUACCAGUGAAGAUGCUGGUUACCUGCGCCAGGACGGAAAGACCCCAUGGAGCUUUACUCCAGCUUGAUACUGGGAUUCGAUAUUGUAUGUACAGGAUAGGUGGGAGGCGAAGAAGCAUUGACGCCAGUUGAUGCGGAGCCGCUGUUGGGAUACCACCCUUGCAGUAUUGGAUUUCUAACCAGCAGCCGUGACCCGGCUGGGGGACAAUGUCAGGUGGGGAGUUUGACUGGGGCGGUCGCCUCCGAAAGGGUAUCGGAGGCGCUCAAAGGUUCCCUCAGAAUGGUUGGAAACCAUUCGAAGAGUGCAAAGGCAGAAGGGAGCUUGACUGCGACACCGACGGGUGGAGCAGGUACGAAAGUAGGACUUAGUGAUCCGGUGGUAUAAAGUGGGAUUGCCAUCGCUCAACGGAUAAAAGCUACCCUGGGGAUAACAGGCUUAUCACUCCCAAGAGUUCACAUCGACGGAGUGGUUUGGCACCUCGAUGUCGGCUCAUCGCAUCCUGGGGCUGAAGUAGGUCCCAAGGGUUGGGCUGUUCGCCCAUUAAAGCGGUACGCGAGCUGGGUUCAGAACGUCGUGAGACAGUUCGGUCCCUAUCCGGCGUGGGCGUAGGAUAUUUGAGAGGAGCUGGCCUUAGUACGAGAGGACCGGGCUGGACUGACCGCUGGUGUAUCUGUUGUUCCGCCAGGAGCAUGGCAGAGUAGCCAAGUCAGGAAGGGAUAAACGCUGAAGGCAUCUAAGCGUGAAGCCCCCCUCAAGAUGAGAUAUCCCAACGUAAGUUGUAAGACCCCUUGAAGACGACAAGGUAGAUAGGGCAGAGGUGGAAGUGCAGUAAUGCAUGGAGCUGACUGUUACUAAUCGGUCGAGGGCAUAACCAAG